rnacentral:lncRNA from 1 species
UGAGGCUUGUUUAGGGGGGUAUCAAUAUCCCAUAUCCCAUUAAGUUUUUAUCCCAAUAUCCCGUAUCCCUAUUAUGUUUACCCCUAAUAUCCCAAUAAAUAUUUUUUACAAAUAUCCCAUAUCCCUAAAACUAUUUUGAAAUAUCCCAAAAAAUCAUUAUAAAUUCAUUCCCAAGCCCAUUUGUUUCCUCAUCAUCACAAC